AACGAACGCUGGCGGUAUGGCUAAAACAUGCAAGUCGUACGGAAAGGCUUCAAUUGAUGUCUUCGGAUUGAUGUUGAAGUACUCGAGUGGCGAAAGGGCGAGGAAUACAUAGGUAACGUACCUUUUGCUCAGGGAUAGCUGCGGGAAACUGCAAUUAAUACCUGAUGAGACCACAGCAUCUACGGGUGCAGAGGUCAAAGAUGGGGAUCCAUCGGGACCUAUCGGCAAGAGAGCGGCCUAUGUCCUAUCAGCUUGUUGGUAAGGUAAUGGCUCACCAAGGCAACGACGGGUACCGGGACUGAGAGGUUGACCCGGCGCAUUGGGACUGAGACACUGCCCAGACUCCUACGGGAGGCUGCAGUAACGAAUAUUGGACAAUGAGCGAAAGCUUGAUCCAGCAAUACCGCGUGCAGGAAGAAGCCCUUCGGGGUGUAAACUGCUGUCAGGGACCACCAAGCAAUGAGUGUUAAUACCAUUCUGCGUUGAGGAAUCCCAGAGGAAGCCACGGCUAACUUCGUGCCAGCAGCCGCGGUAAGACGAAGGUGGCGAGCGUUGUUCGGAAUCACUGGGCUUAGAGAGCUCGUAGGCGGAUUGUCAAGCGUCAUGUGAAAGCCCUCGGCUCAACCGAGGAAUUGCUUGGCGAACUGAU
rnacentral:rRNA from 1 species